AUACGGAGGGUCCGAGCGUUAUCCGGAAUCAUUGGGUUUAAAGGGUCCGUAGGCGGGAAUCUAAGUCAGUGGUGAAAUCUUGCAGCUCAACUGUAAAAUUGCCAUUGAUACUGGAUUUCUUGAAUUAGUGUGAAGUGGUUAGAAUGUGUAGUGUAGCGGUGAAAUGCAUAGAUAUUACAAAGAAUACCAAUUGCGAAGGCAGAUCACUAACACUAUAUUGACGCUAAGGGACGAAAGCGUGGGGAGCGAACAGGAUUAGAAACCCUAGUAGUCC
rnacentral:rRNA from 1 species